rnacentral:lncRNA from 1 species
CAUUUUUCAUGUGCACGCCGUAAAUGUGAAUUUCAUUUUUUAAAAAUAUUUAUUUAUUUAAUUACCAACAAGCUUAUAAUAAUUAAUAUUAUAAAAGAACUAUAUAUACCACCACAUAUAAUAUAAUCAUGUUUUUCAUAAUUUCAAUGAAUAAAAGUAUUAAGUGCAAUCAAAUACAAUACACCAAAAUGUAGAGUUAAUCUAGAUGAUUACUAAGAACAUCAUUAGCCUAGUCAAAAAGUUUAUGUCAAUAUACCAAAAGUAUCGAUUACUACUCCAAAAAUAGCUUA